rnacentral:rRNA from 1 species
GACGAACGCUGACGGCGUGCCUAACACAUGCAAGUCAAGGGGCCUUCGGGUCACUGGCGCACGGGUGAGUAACGCGUAGAUUAUCUACCCAUAUCUCUGACAUAACUGCUGGAAACGGUAGCUAAUAUCAGAUGAGGCCUACGGGUCAAAGUUUUAAUGGAUAUGGAUGAGUCUGCGUCUGAUUAGCUAGUUGGUAGUGUAAUGGACUACCAAGGCUACGAUCAGUAACUGGUCUGAGAGGACGAUCAGUCACACUGGAACUGAGACACGGUCCAGACUCCUACGGGAGGCAGCAGUGAGGAAUUUUUGGACAAUGGGGGAAACCCUGAUCCAGCGACGCCGUGUGUGGGAUGAAUCGGUUAUACCGUGUAAACCACUGUCAGAUGGGAAAAAAAGAAUACUUCUGGAUUCUGGGAUUGUACCAUCAGAGGAAGGACCGGCUAACUACGUG